rnacentral:rRNA from 1 species
UACAUGGGGUGCAAACGUUGCUCGGAAUUAUUGGGCGUAAAGCGCACGUAGGCGGUUCGUUAAGUCGGAUGUGAAAGCCCUCGGCUCAACUGAGGAAGUGCACCCGAAACUGGCGAGCUUGAGUACGAAAGAGGAUCGCGGAAUUCCCGGUGUAGAGGUGAAAUGCGCAGAUAUCAGGAGGGAAACACCGGUGGCGAAGGCGGGUCUCUGGGCAGUAACUGACGCUGGAGGAGCGGAAAGCGUGGGGAGCAAACAGG